UCUAAAUCCUAAAUCAAAUUCUAGACAAACCCUACACUCUAAACAAAUCUUAAAUCCUAGAACAAAUCUUAUAUAAAUUCUAAAUACUAAACUAAAUUCUAAAUAAAUCUUAAGUCUUAAAUCCGAAACCAAAUCUUAGAUAAAUGCUAAAUCUUAAAUAAAUACUAAAUCUUAAAUCAAAUCUUAGACAAAUACCAAGUCCUAAAUCAAUCCUAAAUCCUAAACAAAAAUCUAAUCAACUCAAAUUAAUCCUAAGGUAGAUUAGAAUCCCAAUAUCUAUUGAUUAAACUAUUGAUCUUACUUAAAAAUUUAUACACCUCUCAAUCUCUUAAUUAAAAAUAAGUAUAAAAAAUUUGAAGAUAAUUGCACUUAUAAAAUGGAAGAAAAAUUCUAAAAUUUGCCCAAGUGUUGGCUAACCUCCUACUCCAAUCUAAAUUUUAAACUUCCAGCAUCAAUAUCUUCUUUUGGAAUCGUUGAAUUUCUUCUAAAAUUUACUUAAGUCAUUGAAAACCAAGUCUAGUCUACGUACAAAAAAUAAUCACUUCAAUCCAAUU
rnacentral:lncRNA from 1 species